CAACAACACACAGCCGACAUGAGCUGUUAGUGUUUGCACAUCAGAGAGCGACGAGGCUUCCUGUUGCCACCAGCGAUACAGAAGAAAACAUCAUGAUUCAUUCAGGAGGAAAUGUGAUGCUACAGGCCUGCAGGAGGAAGGCCACGGAGCCACUAACAUGCCCAGAUAGUACUGCUUUAUUUUGCUUCAGCACCACCUCGAUCUUGUAUUUGGAUCCUGUCAGCAGUUUGAUGGUCCGGUUCUGGCCGAAGCGGGUCCCGUCCACCUUGAAGAACACGGGCCCGUCGUUGGGCUGGAUCCGCAGCGAGAUGGCGAUGUCGACGAUCGGGGGAACACCGUCCAUUGUCCCGGGUUCAGAGGGUCUCUAACGGGGUCAGUGCUCGGUGUUGGGGGAGCAGACGGAGGAAGAUGCGGUGAUGCUGAGGAGGACCACAGUCAAGCAGGGCACUAAGGGACUUCCGGUUAUGUCUUUCAAAAUAAAAGUCUGAAGGCCAGAGU